rnacentral:rRNA from 1 species
GAUGAACGCUGGCGGCGUGCCUAAUACAUGCAAGUCGAGCGAACGGACGAGAAGCUUGCUCCUCUGAUGUUAGCGGCGGACGGGUUAGUAACACGUGGAUAACCUACUUAUAAGACUGGGAUAACUUCGGGAAACCGUAGCUAAUACCGGAUAAUAUUUUGAACCGCAUGGUUCAAAAGUGAAAGCCGGUCUUGCUGUCACUUAUAGGUGGAUCCGCGCUGCAUUAGCUAGUUGGUAAGGUAACGGCUUACCAAGGCAACGAUGCAUAGCCGACCUGAGAGGGUGAUCGGACACACUGGAACUGAGACACGGUCCAGACUCCUACGGGAGGCAGCAGUAGGGAAUCUUCCGCAAUGGGCGAAAGCCUGACGGAGCAACGCCGCGUGAGUGAUGAAGGUCUUCGGAUCGUAAAACUCUGUUAUUAGGGAAGAACAGAUGUGUAAGUAACUAUGCACAUCUUGACGGUACCUAAUCAGAAAGCCACGGCUAACUACGUG